rnacentral:lncRNA from 1 species
AUCGUUCUCCAUUCCAGAUUAACCGCGUCUUCUCUCCUUCUUCGUUCGUGAGUUUCACAUUCUCCAUUUUCUUCCUUUUUUCUCUCUUAUCCGCAAAUUGCUUCUUUUUCAUCAAUGUUAGGACUUGUUAUCUGUAACAUUUUUCAUAUUUAACUGCUUUGUGUUUAUACUCAACAAGUUGAAUUUUAUUGCAAUGCCUUGAUUUUUAUCAAUUUGUGAAUAAGCUUAGAAUUUAAACAAUUUAAUUAAUCUCAUAUUUAUAUGUGAAACUAAUUUCUAUUAUACUGUAAACAGAUUUUUUACUGUUUAUUUUAUUUGAUAUCAAUGAUGUUGAAAUUUAUUUAAUUUUUUGUCUGCAGGAAACCCCAUUUAUGAAUUAUUGAUGAAAAAUAAUUUAUUGUCUUGCAAUGUGAAACUUAAUCCUGUUUGGUUAAUUUAAUUUCUUUGAGGAGAAUUGAAAAAUAUGGAAGGGUUAUUGAAUUCUUUGGUUAACCAAAGUUGUUUAAAACCCUUUGGUUUUACUCCAAGAGUUAGUUAUAAUUUCCCGGUUAUCACGAGAACUUGGCGUUUAGAUAAAAAACUUGGUUG